UGAUCCUGGCUCAGGAUGAACGCUAGCGGCAGGCUUAACACAUGCAAGUCGAGGGGUAUUGGUUUUCGGACCUAGAGACCGGCGCACGGGUGCGUAACGCGUAUGCAAUCUACCUUUUGCAGAGGGAUAGCCCAGAGAAAUUUGGAUUAAUACCUCAUAGUAUAGCAGUUUCGCAUGAAACCACUAUUAAAGUCACAACGGCAAAAGAUGAGCAUGCGUCCCAUUAGCUAGUUGGUAAGGUAACGGCUUACCAAGGCUACGAUGGGUAGGGGUCCUGAGAGGGAGAUCCCCCACACUGGUACUGAGACACGGACCAGACUCCUACGGGAGGCAGCAGUGAGGAAUAUUGGACAAUGGGCGCAAGCCUGAUCCAGCCAUGCCGCGUGCAGGAUGACGGUCCUAUGGAUUGUAAACUGCUUUUGUACAGGAAGAAACACUCCCUCGUGAGGGAGCUUGACGGUACUGUAAGAAUAAGGAUCGGC
rnacentral:rRNA from 1 species